rnacentral:lncRNA from 1 species
GGAAGCGGAGAGAACGACCGCCGCCUCAGCGCCUCGGCCCCGGACGCCCCCAGCGGCCGCACCCUGCAGCGCACCCGCGGGGCGGAAGCAGGAGCAGCGGGAGGGCGGGGAAAUUCGGGGCGGGAGGGUGCCUCCGCGGGGAAUCUAACCCACUACGGCAGUUAGCCGCGCGCCACGCUUCUCGGGUUAAAAAAAGACAAACCCGGCCAAAAAAGCUUACUUUUGCAGCUUCCUCUGCGCCUUUCCUUUCAGUUUCCUUGCACCCCCUCUUUUCUUCCCUUUCCUGUGAUUUCUUUCCCUGGGGUUUAAGAAUCAUGGGUUAAAAAGGGCAAACAAUCUACUACGUUGUUUGGGUCAAACGGAGAUCCAAGAACUAAAAUUUCCUUUCGAGUCUCUAAAUUCACGAGACUUCAAAUGUAAAACGAAGACAAGAUAGGAAAAAGGAAAGGGAUUAAGGUGAUGAAGGCCUUCGAAGUGCCCAUGCAAGGCACUGCUCAGCCAUUUUCUCGUGUUGAUGCCCUGUCUAAUCUUUGUCACCCAGGAUAAAAGAUAAUAAUCUGUCUAUAUAAAGAAGAGAAAUACUUAAAAUCAAAUUCUCCAAGGCAGGCUUUAAAAAUCUCCCUAGAUGAAUAGCAAUCAUUUGCCUUCUGUAGGCAUAUGCAGUGUCUACUGUUAAAUGUGUAUGACUUAGUUACAUAAUGUUCCUGUUUUGUUUGUUUGCUUUGCAGUCCUGGGGAUUGAACCUAGGGGUCCUGGAUGUACAUGCCAGCUAAGCUACACCCCCCCGCCCCUUUGUUUUGAGACAGUCUUAUCAAAUUGUCCAGGCUGGCCUCAAACUUGUGAGUCUCCUGCCUCGGCCUCCCAACUAGCAGGAACUACAGAUGAAAGAACUGAGGCAUGGGGAAAUUAAGCAACUCUUACAAGAUUACCCAAUCGUUUUCUUUCUUGAUAACACUCCACGAAGAGCAAGGAGCGGCUGGGUCCUCCAAGGCUCCAUGAGACCUUGAUACUAUAUCUGGCUACAGAGUCCACCAGGACUAGGGCUUCAACUUGGCUUAAGAACUACAAUUUCCUGCUCUAGCAACACAAUUAGCACCUUUCACAGUAGCACAGAUGUGGAAUCAACCUACAUGUCCAUGAAAGGAUGAAUGCAUGCGGAAAAUGUGACAGCUAUGGACUGAAACUUCUACAAACUGCGAAUCAAAAUAAAUCUUUCCUCCUUUAACUUGUGGGUAUCAAGUGUUUUGUCCCAGCAAUAAGAAAGUAAUUAAGACAACUACUUUGGCUGAGC